UACGUAGGGUGCAAGCGUUAAUCGGAAUUACUGGGCGUAAAGCGUGCGCAGGCGGUUAUGUAAGACAGAUGUGAAAUCCCAGGGCUCAACCUUGGAACUGCAUUUGUGACUGCAUAGCUAGAGUACGGUAGAGGGGGAUGGAAUUCCGCGUGUAGCAGUGAAAUGCGUAGAUAUGCGGAGGAACACCGAUGGCGAAGGCAAUCCCCUGGACCUGUACUGACGCUCAUGCACGGAAGCGUGGGGAGCAAACAGG
rnacentral:rRNA from 1 species